rnacentral:tRNA from 1 species
UGCGGGGUCGGCUAAUGGUAGGCCGGGAGACUCUGGAUCUCCUAGUCCAGGUUCGAGUCCUGGCCCCGCAGCCA